rnacentral:rRNA from 1 species
GACGAACGCUGGCGGCGUGCCUAAUACAUGCAAGUAGAACGCUGAAGAGAGGAGCUUGCUCUUCUUGGAUGAGUUGCGAACGGGUGAGUAACGCGUAGGUAACCUGCCUUGUAGCGGGGGAUAACUAUUGGAAACGAUAGCUAAUACCGCAUAACAAUGGAUGACACAUGUCAUUUAUUUGAAAGGGGCAAUUGCUCCACUACAAGAUGGACCUGCGUUGUAUUAGCUAGUAGGUGAGGUAACGGCUCACCUAGGCGACGAUACAUAGCCGACCUGAGAGGGUGAUCGGCCGCACUGGGACUGAGACACGGCCCAGACUCCUACGGGAGGCAGCAGUAGGGAAUCUUCGGCAAUGGGGGCAACCCUGACCGAGCAACGCCGCGUGAGUGAAGAAGGUUUUCGGAUCGUAAAGCUCUGUUGUAAGUCAAGAACGAGUGUGAGAGUGGAAAGUUCACACUGUGACGGUAGCUUACCAGAAAGGGACGGCUAACUACGUGCCAGCAGCCGCGGUAAUACGUAGGUCCCGAGCGUUGUCCGGAUUUAUUGGGCGUAAAGCGAGCGCAGGCGGUUUGAUAAGUCUGAAGUUAAAGGCUGUGGCUCAACCAUAGUUCGCUUUGGAAACUGUCAAACUUGAGUGCAGAAGGGGAGAGUGGAAUUCCAUGUGUAGCGGUGAAAUGCGUAGAUAUAUGGAGGAACACCGGUGGCGAAAGCGGCUCUCUGGUCUGUAACUGACGCUGAGGCUCGAAAGCGUGGGGAGCGAACAGGAUUAGAUACCCUGGUAGUCCACGCCGUAAACGAUGAGUGCUAGGUGUUGGAUCCUUUCCGGGAUUCAGUGCCGCAGCUAACGCAUUAAGCACUCCGCCUGGGGAGUACGACCGCAAGGUUGAAACUCAAAGGAAUUGACGGGGGCCCGCACAAGCGGUGGAGCAUGUGGUUUAAUUCGAAGCAACGCGAAGAACCUUACCAGGUCUUGACAUCCCGAUGCUAUUUCUAGAGAUAGAAAGUUACUUCGGUACAUCGGUGACAGGUGGUGCAUGGUUGUCGUCGGCUCGUGUCGUGAGAUGUUGGGUUAAGUCCCGCAACGAGCGCAACCCCUAUUGUUAGUUGCCAUCAUUCAGUUGGGCACUCUAGCGAGACUGCCGGUAAUAAACCGGAGGAAGGUGGGGAUGACGUCAAAUCAUCAUGCCCCUUAUGACCUGGGCUACACACGUGCUACAAUGGUUGGUACAACGAGUUGCGAGUCGGUGACGGCAAGCUAAUCUCUUAAAGCCAAUCUCAGUUCGGAUUGUAGGCUGCAACUCGCCUACAUGAAGUCGGAAUCGCUAGUAAUCGCGGAUCAGCACGCCGCGGUGAAUACGUUCCCGGGCCU